GACAGAGGUGCCGAGCGUUAGGCGGAAUCACUGGGCUUAAAGCGUGUGUAGGCGGACUUCUAAGUACCUUGUGAAAUCCCACGGCUCAACCGUGGAACUGCUUGGUAUACUGGUUGUCUUGAGCCACUUAGGGGCAGUCGGAACAGACGGUGGAGCGGUGAAAUGCGUAGAUAUCGGGAGGAACACCUGUGGCGAAAGCGGCUCACUGGACCACAACUGACGCUGAUGCACGAAAGCUAGGGGAGCAAACAGG
rnacentral:rRNA from 1 species